rnacentral:rRNA from 1 species
GUCNUUAGCGGCGGCUUCCAUGCAGUCGAGCGGAGAGAGGUAGCUUGCUACUGAUCUUGCGGCGGACGGGUGAGUUGCUUGGAUCUGCCUAUUGUGGGGGACACUUUCGAGGAAUGCUAAUACCGCAUACGUCCUACGGGAGAAAGCAGGGGAUCUUCGGACCUUGCGCUAAUAGAUGAGCCUAAGUCGGAUUAGCUAGUUGGUGGGGUAAAGGCCUACCAAGGCGACGAUCUGUAGCGGGUCUGAGAGGAUGAUCCGCCACACUGGGACUGAGACACGGCCCAGACUCCUACGGGAGGCAGCAGUGGGGAAUAUUGGACAAUGGGCGCAAGCCUGAUCCAGCCAUGCCGCGUGUGUGAAGAAGGCCUUCAUGGUUGUAAAAGCACUUUAAGCGAGGAGGAGGCUACUUUUAGAUAAUACCUAGAGAUCAGGUCGGACGUUUCCCUCGCCAGAAUAAGGCCCCGGGCUAAACUCUGUGCCAGCAUGCCGCGGGUCNAAUUCCCGAGGGGUGGCCAAGCGCUUUAUCCGGGGUUUUCCUGGGGCCGUUAAGCGCGCCGUUAGGGGGUAU